UACAGAGGUCUCAAGCGUUGCUCGGAAUCACUGGGCGUAAAGCGCACGUAGGCGGCUUUUUAAGUCAGGGGUGAAAUCCUGGAGCUCAACUCCAGAACUGCCUUUGAUACUGAGAAGCUUGAGUCCGGGAGAGGUGAGUGGAACUGCGAGUGUAGAGGUGAAAUUCGUAGAUAUUCGCAAGAACACCAGUGGCGAAGGCGGCUCACUGGCCCGGUACUGACGCUGAGGUGCGAAAGCGUGGGGAGCAAACAGG
rnacentral:rRNA from 1 species